UACGGGGGGGGCAAGCGUUGUUCGGAAUUAUUGGGCGUAAAGGGCUCGUAGGCGGUUUGUCGCGUCGGGAGUGAAAACACGGGGCUUAACCCCGUGCCUGCUUCCGAUACGGGCAGACUAGAGGUAUGCAGGGGAGAACGGAAUUCCUGGUGUAGCGGUGAAAUGCGCAGAUAUCAGGAGGAACACCGGUGGCGAAGGCGGUUCUCUGGGCAUUACCUGACGCUGAGGAGCGAAAGUGUGGGGAGCGAACAGG
rnacentral:rRNA from 1 species